CCUACGGGAGGCAGCAGUAAGGAAUAUUGGACAAUGCUCGCAAGAGUGAUCCAGCCAUGCCGCGUGCAGGAAGAAUGCCCUAUGGGUAGUAAACUGCUUUUGAACUAGAGAAAACCCCAGUACGUGUACCGGGCUGAUAGUAUAGUUAGAAUAAGCAUCGGCUAACUUCGUGCCAGCAGCCGCGGUAAGACGAAGGAUGCAAGCGUUAUCCGGAUUCAUUGGGUUUAAAGGGAGCGUAGGUGGACUGAUAAGUCAGUGGUGAAAUCUCCGAGCUUAACUCGGAAAUUGCCAUUGAUACUGUUGGUCUUGAGUACAGUUGCUGUGGGCGGAAUAUGACAUGUAGUGGUGAAAUACAUAGAGAUGUCAUAGAACACCGAUUGCGAAGGCAGCUCACAAAGCUGUAACUGACACUGAGGCUCGAAAGUGCGGGGAUCAAACAGGAUUAGAUACCCUGGUAGUCCGCACCGUAAACGAUGAUUACUCGCUGCUAGGGGGCACCUUUAGUGGCUUAGCGAAAGCGAUAAGUAAUCACCUUGGGGUAGUUAGCGCGACGAGAGACGAGAGAGAGAGNGNGAGAGNGCGACGACGACGACGGAGGAGGAG
rnacentral:rRNA from 1 species